ACCAAUUUUACGGUGCUGUAGCAACCAAACAGCAAAUGACAGCGCCAUAAUUUUUUGACAAGCGUUAGUGUGCUAUAGUUUUUACAAGUCUACGGAAACUUUUUUACCUCGCAGUUUAAAAAAAGUUAUCGAAAUGCUGUAUGGCUCGGAAAUCGCAACGAACCAUUGUUAAAGAACUACGACAUUUACAUGUGAAUAAAAUGUUUGUGUAUCGGAGUAUUACACGUUACAAUGAUACUGGUAGCAUCAAAAAACGCCAUGGGGGUGGACAUACAAAAACAGCAAGAUCGCGAGAAAUGAUUCGAAAGGUGAAGGCUAGAAUCCUGCGCAAUCCACGAUAAAGCCCAGUGAAAUUAGCGAAAAGUGAAACUGGCCAAAGCCUGCAAGUCGACACACUCACUUUAGAAAAUCAUUGACUCCUACGGCAAAGAAGACACUGGCUUUUCCGGCCGUAAGUAGCAGAUAAUUGGCUGUUCAAUCCGAGAGACUUUCAAGGAAUUUGCGGUUCAAGGUCAUUUUUCCGAAAGUCACAAACUUUGCCUGAAUGUGGAAACCCCCUUUACUCUGCCUGAAAGACUUUGAUCCCAAUUUAAAUUGUUCCAAAGGUUCUGCUGAAUAACAAAGUAACAUAUAAAUAAUAGACUGCAUCCAAAUUUCCGAAA